UGUCUCUAAAUUCUCAAAUUAGGGGCGCUUUACAUCAAGUGUCUCUGUAAUGUUCAAACCUGCACCAACAUUGCUAUCUAAUUAAUUUAUAAAUCAAAACCCUAACACUCUCACCCACUCAUACGAAAACAGAGUUCACUUCGCGGGCCUGAUUCCACUCUAACUUCGCGAACUCGACUGCUCCAAAUUGUGCCUUCAAUCGCCGGUGUCGCAGCUGCUGCCGGCUACCACUCACCUUUUGAGCACCGGUGAGUCGUUCACCACUUCGAGCACUUUAAUCUCUCCGCCGAUUUCUUUUUCCCAUGGAGUAUCUGCCGUAAUUAGGAGAAGCAUUUGAAGAAUUAUGUUGAUAUCUACUCGUCUCUUAAGUGGAAUUCCAUUGUUUGCCAAGCUCGGAUACUCAAUUUGUAAGUUUUUGUUUCACCUCCUUUGUAGGUACUUCGCAAUUUAGAUUUUGUUGAAUUCUUUUGGUUUCAUGCUUGAUUGUAGUUAGAUUUUUCUAGGUUUAAUUGUUAUUUUAGCUCCGUGCGUGAAUUAUUAGCUUCUGUGCUUAUCUGUUAGUUGAAUUAUGAGAACUAUCUAAUACUAAAUAUUUUCUAUUUUUGUUUAUUCCAAUUUAAUUUUAUCGGUUUUGGAGUUUGAAUAAGGUGCUUGGGCUGGGUAUCUAAUUGAAACUCUUAAUGGUUGACUAGAUGGUGGUAUAUUGCAUAGGUUUAUCUUUUUGUGUAUUUUUCCAGAAAAUGCUCUAUUGAAGAUAGCAAACCUCUGGAUAUCAAGCUAUUGUCUAAAUCUGUUUUCUAAUAGCAACUGAACAAAGUUUCUUUGUGUGAACAAACAAGGUACCAUUUAACUCUGUUGUUAGGUUCAUUUUAUAUCAGAAUACAAGUAAAGUUACUCGUCACUAACUCACUAUUGUAUAUUUGAAAUGGAAAUGUCUAGCUUGGUUGGGUGGAAUUCAGGUUGAUUAUUUGAUAUUAGGUUGAGCAAGCAUUAUCCUUGCAUAACUGAUACGAAUGGUAUAUUUAGAGCCUAUGUCAUUUACUCUCUUAUACGAUGGAAUGUUAAUUCUAACUGUAAGUUGUAACUUGUAAGAACAAAUGCACGUAUUCUCUUCGUUAGCAGAUUCUGUCAGAUAAGGCUGCAUUGUUGGCUCAGAAUACAGUUAAUGAGCUCAUUCAGGUAAGUUUUUAUGAAAUUCAGUGGCUAUUAAGGGUUUGUCUUCCAAAUUUUCUACCUUUGCAGACUGAAAGAAAGGACGUUCCACUCGGAUAGCUUCAAUCUUCCCUCAUUCAUUUUCUUCUUAUAAUUAAAAUUUGUUCCUUUUCAGCAACUCAGACCCUCAAUCUGAAUCAUCUCCAGAAAUCAGAAAGUUAGAGCAGGAGCUCAUGCAAGGAGCCAGAUGAAGUGAUGUUAUGAGAUAGUAGCAAUGAGCUUAGAAGUAGUAGUACUAACUAUUUGUUAAAUGGUUAAGAAGAAGAGAUAUUUGGUGUAAGGCUUGAUGAUUAUUCUCAUUCAACUGUUCCUGUUAAAUAGGAGAGUACAAUCAUUCUCAUAUGGUAACUAAAUCAUUCCUAUUCUAUA